GAAGGUGGCAGCAGCACCUCUGCGACAUCAGCUGCACUAAUAGGACAACGAAGAAGUCGCCUCUCGUCCCGCAGUGUUGUUAAGUGACCUCUGCUGCUAGCAGUCAACCUCUCAAAAAAAUGGUUCCUCCGGUUGCAGUGUCGCCUCUGAUCAAGACAGCCAGGUAUUCAGCUCUGAUUGCUGGGAUCAUCUACGGCAAAAGCAGAUAUGAUACCCUGAAGCCCAUCGCAGCUGAGGAGAGGAGGAUCGAGGAGGAGGAGAAGAAGGUCCGCGAGGAGCAGGAGCGCAUUGCCAAACAGAUAAGAGAAGCAAAUGAAGACACUAUCCUGAAGUAGAGCGUCGGAGCGCUGUGUGAAGAUGUCCACGUACAUGUGCAAUUUCCAAUCUCUCCUUCCUUUUUUCUGGAGUAACGAUGGCAAAGUCGGGUCACAACCAGUCAAACACGCCGGUGUGGACGAUGUUUUCUCUGUUCCCUUGAAUGACACAACACUUCUCCGGGUUGCCAGAUACAGCAAUUAAAAAUUGAACUACAUGUUAUGAAACAAAGCUCUUGAACUCUGCAUUGUAAACCUGCAAAUGCAGCAACAUAAGUUAUGAAGUUAAAUUUUGUAAUGAAGCAAAAGCAUAUAAACAGAUGUACAUGAUCCCUGUUGCGUUUGCCCUUUGCUUCUUCAAUAUGUGACCUUAAUUGGUGUUCUCCCAGAAACUGUUACAGCACAGAUGAGACCUAUGUAAUAUUGUAGUGAUAACCUGUUUUGCCAUUAAAACCCUCACGAGUCAACAUAUACAA